AUAAACUGGCAUGUUCUGAAAGAAUCACUCUGGAUGCUGUGUGGAGAAAACACUGAAAAGACACUAUCCUCAGAAAUUAGAUUUGAAAAAUGAGCUUCAUUUUCGAAGAACAUAUUGAAUUUGUUAUCUCGAUUAUGGAGGGCGACAAGUCCCACAGUCUGCCAUCUGCAGGAUGGAGAACCAGCAUGGCAUGGAAGGAACAUGCUCAAAUCCAUCAUUUAAAAAAGAGAACUCCAGCAGCAAUAUGAAUAAUAGAUUGGAAGGGAGAUUAACCAGAUUCAAAGAGGCUUACCUCAUUGAUGCUGAACAUCCUAAAAAGCUUCUGCUGCUUUGAGUCACUGAAAAAGACCAAGAAACAUGAAUUUAAAAAAAAAUUUCAAAUGUUAUAAAAUAAAUAAUAUG
ensembl:lncRNA HRAT17 heart tissue-associated transcript 17